rnacentral:rRNA from 1 species
GACGAACGCUGGCGGCGUGCUUAACACAUGCAAGUCGAACGGAAAGGCCCUGCUUUUGUGGGGUGCUCGAGUGGCGAACGGGUGAGUAACACGUGAGUAACCUGCCCUUGACUUUGGGAUAACUUCAGGAAACUGGGGCUAAUACCGGAUAGCAGCUCCUGCUGCAUGGUGGGGGUUGGAAAGUUUCGGCGGUUGGGGAUGGACUCGCGGCUUAUCAGCUUGUUGGUGGGGUAGUGGCUUACCAAGGCUUUGACGGGUAGCCGGCCUGAGAGGGUGACCGGCCACAUUGGGACUGAGAUACGGCCCAGACUCCUACGGGAGGCAGCAGCGGGGAAUAUUGCACAAUGGGCGGAAGCCUGAUGCAGCAACGCCGCGUGCGGGAUGACGGCCUUCGGGUUGUAAACCGCUUUCGCCUGUGACGAAGCGUGAGUGACGGUAAUGGGUAAAGAAGCACCGGCUAACUACGUG